rnacentral:rRNA from 1 species
CUGUUAUAUAAUAUAAUUGAUUAUUCCUGCCUUAAACAUUUUAAAAGGAUUAUGUUUGUUUUAACAUGCCAUAUUAUAUAAAGGUACACAAAUAACGGCAACAAAACAUAGAGUUGUUCAAUUAACAUAGUGUUUUUUUUUUUAAUUUUAUUAAAAAAUGUAUAUUACACUGUAUAUAAACUAGACCUGAAAUCAGCCGAGGAUACCCGCUGAAUUUAAGCAUAUUAUUAAGCGGAGGAAAAGAAAAUAACUAUGAUUCCCUUAGUAACGGCGAGUGAAGAGGGAGGUGCUCAAAGUGAAAAUCGUGAUACCUCCCUAUGGUACCGCGAGUUGUAGCCUCUAGAGGCG